rnacentral:RNase_P_RNA from 1 species
AGAGCAAGCCGGGCGGUCGCGUGAGGGUUCCCUCAUGAGGAAAGUCCGGACUCCGCAGGGCAAGGGUGCCGGAUAACGUCCGGUGAAGGCGACUUUAAGGAAAGUGCAACAGAAACACACCGCCGAAACAGAGGCGAACGCGAGUCGAACAAAACGACAAGCUCGAACCUGCUGUGGUAAGGUUGAAAUGGUGGGUUAAGAGCCCACCGGGGGCAUGGUGACAUGCCUGCCGUGUAAACCCCACCCGGUGCAAGGCCAAGCAGAGCAGCAGUCCGCACAGUCGGAUGACGGCGGCCCGUCGUCGCUCGGAAUGGUAGGCCGCAAGCGGAUACCGUUUGGUGUCCCGGAGGGCGACGGCGACGUCGCUCCCAGAUAGAUGACCGUCUUUAACAGAAUCCGGCUUACAGGCUUGCUCAGUAU